GACGAACGCUGGCGGCGUGCCUAAUACAUGCAAGUAGAACGCUGAAGGAGGAGCUUGCUUCUCUGGAUGAGUUGCGAACGGGUGGGCAACGCGUAGGUAACCUGCCUGGUAGCGGGGGAUAACUAUUGGAAACGAUAGCUAAUACCGCAUAACAGUAGAUAUCGCAUGAUAGCUGCUUGAAAGGUGCAAUUGCACCACUACCAGAUGGACCUGCGUUGUAUUAGCUAGUUGGUGAGGUAACGGCUCACCAAGGCGACGAUACAUAGCCGACCUGAGAGGGUGAUCGGCCACACUGGGACUGAGACACGGCCCAGACUCCUACGGGAGGCAGCAGUAGGGAAUCUUCGGCAAUGGACGGAAGUCUGACCGAGCAACGCCGCGUGAGUGAAGGAGGUUUUCGGAUCGUAAAGCUCUGUUGUAAGAGAAGAACGAGUGUGAGAGUGGAAAGUUCACACUGUGACGGUAUCUUACCAGAAAGGGACGGCUAACUACGUGCCAGCAGCCGCGGUAAUACGUAGGUCCCGAGCGUUGUCCGGAUUUAUUGGGCGUAAAGCGAGCGCAGGCGGUUAGAUAAGUCUGAAGUUAAAGGCUGUGGCUUAACCAUAAUACGCUUUGGAAACUGUUUAACUUGAGUGCAAGAGGGGAGAGUGGAAUUCCAUGUGUAGCGGUGAAAUGCGUAGAUAUAUGGAGGAACACCGGUGGCGAAAGCGGCUCUCUGGCUUGUAACUGACGCUGAGGCUCGAAAGCGUGGGGAGCAAACAGG
rnacentral:rRNA from 1 species